AGCUGGCUCUGUGGGCAUCUUCCAAGGCCUGCGUGCCCUGCCCCGUACCAGUGCACUCAGGAGCUGUGUCCAUGCAGAGCUAUGAGCACUGGUGACACUCAGCCCAUCCAUAUGUCUGUCCAGGUCAUGUGUCCGAUUCCUCAGCAGGAACCAUAACUGCAGACACCAACACUCCUCUGAACCUCACAGUCAUUCAUGUGGUAUCAGUUACUGUCACCCUCCUGCUGUCUGCAGCCACCUUCUGGACCAUUAGGAAAGGUGCCUGCCGGGAGAGAUGCCGAAGGCAGCAGCCCGUUCCCAGCCAGCAGGUGCAAGCCACCGACUACGGAGAAAUCCAGUGUGAGUGCUGGGCACCCCUUUUCCAUGGGGACCCCCUUCCCUUGGGCUCCCAUUUGCCAUCCCACCUGUCCCUUUCCCACUUGGACAUGCAAAAACCAUUUCUCAAGAGUCAGUUUCUCCAGGGUGCU